CCUACGGGUGGCAGCAGUGAGGAAUAUUGGUCAAUGGGCGGGAGCCUGAACCAGCCAAGUCGCGUGAGGGAAGAAGGUACUGAGUAUUGUAAACCUCUUUUGCCAGGGGACAAAGGCGGCCACGGGUGGCCGUAAGAGGGUACCUGGAGAAAAAGCAUCGGCUAACUCCGUGCCAGCAGCCGCGGUAAUACGGAGGAUGCGAGCGUUAUCCGGAUUUAUUGGGUUUAAAGGGUGCGCAGGCGGAGGUGCAAGUCAGCGGUCAAGUUGCGGGGCUCAACCCCGUACUGCCGUUGAAACUGCAUCCCUUGAGUGCGCGAGAAGUAUGCGGAAUGCGUGGUGUAGCGGUGAAAUGCAUAGAUAUCACGCAGAACUCCGAUUGCGAAGGCAGCAUACCGGCGCUCAACUGACGCUCAUGCACGAAAGUGUGGGUAUCGAACAGGAUUAGAUACCCGGGUAGUC
rnacentral:rRNA from 1 species